UGGCGUCGCGCCGGUGUCCACGCCGUCAGCCACAGUGAGAAAUUGACAAUCGAGCGGACGUCACGUCGGCGGCGGCGCAAAAACUUGCGGUUUUUUCUUCCUUUGCAUUGAUUGAUGGCGCGAGCCGGGUAACGGCGAAAUUAUGCUACAAGACUAGAGCAAAAAUGACACGAAAGAACCAAGAAUUCCGAGGAGGAAGAAGAAGAAGAAGAACUGGCCUAUACAUAUGCUAUAUCUAUGUUACUGGCACGCAGAGAUGUAUGAGCAAGCAGGCAGGCGUCGAUCGAUCGAUCCUCCAUUGUAAGUCCUUUCCGGCCGGGCAGUCGAGCGGGUGCGCCGCCGCGGAAAGCAGGAACAAGAGAGGACGAUCGAUCCUUUCCUCGCUGAAGAACCCAGUCGGCCGCCUGCCGGUGAUCCGUCCAAGAAACCAAGAACUGACCCCGCCGUCGUCG
rnacentral:lncRNA from 1 species